GCCGCAGAGAGAGAGGAAGGGGAAGGAUGCCUCGUAGCGCCCGCUCUGGUUAGGUCUCAGACGGGAGAAGAAAGUGACCAGGAACUGCAGGCCCGAGCUCCCCGCGACCUCGCCAAGGCUACAGCCAAGUUGCGCAGUGACCUGCAAGGAGGCCACAUCCUUCCACACCGGAAACAGGUCACACAGACGAUCCAGCGCCUGGUGCUUUGGGUUCCGGCGGCAGCACGUGUUCGGCGGGGCGGGGCCCCGUGCCCCGCCCCCGGGGAGGAGCCACACUGUGUGGACCCCGCCCCCACCCCGCCCUUCCCCGCGUCGAAGUAACCAGGCACAGGCAGUGAGUGUGCAUUUGAACUUUAUUCACACCGAGCGCUGUCACCUCUGUCCACACGUCGGAGGGAGCGCCUGCGGCAGGGACGCCGGAGAGGUCCAGGAUCCGCCCCAGGGGGCUACCGGCCUCGCCAAGGCGGGACUUUUGUUUUUAAUAAAUAAAAACAACUCUAAAAAUA